rnacentral:misc_RNA from 1 species
UACGAGGGGGGCAAGCGUUGUUCGGAUUUACUGGGCGUAAAGCGCGCGCAGGCGGAUCGAUAAGUCCUCUGUGAAAUCUGUCGGCUCAACCAACAGUCUGCAGUCGAAACUAUCGAUCUUGAGUAUAGAAGAGGAGAGCGGAAUCUCUGGUGUAGCGGUGAAAUGCGUAGAUAUCAGAGAGAACAUCGGUGGCGAAGGCGGCUCUCUGGUCUGAUACUGACGCUGAGGCGCGAAAGCUAGGGGAGCGAACGGG